AACGAACGCUGGCGGCAUGCCUAACACAUGCAAGUCGAACGAGACCUUCGGGUCUAGUGGCGCACGGGUGCGUAACGCGUGGGAACCUGCCCUUAGGUUCGGAAUAACUCCCCGAAAGGGGUGCUAAUACCGGAUAAUGUCUUCGGACCAAAGAUUUAUCGCCUUUGGAUGGGCCCGCGUUGGAUUAGCUAGUUGGUAGGGUAAAAGCCUACCAAGGCGACGAUCCAUAGCUGGUCUGAGAGGAUGAUCAGCCACACUGGGACUGAGACACGGCCCAGACCCCGAGGGGAGGCAGGAGGGGAGAAUAUUGAAAAGUGGGCAAAAGCUAGACCCAGCAAGCCGGGGGGAGUAGAGAAGCCUUUGGGGUUGAAAAUCUUUUUCCCCGGGGAUGAAAAGGAAGGUCCGGGAAAAAAAAGCCCCGACUACCCCCGUC
rnacentral:rRNA from 1 species